CUGGGAUUUUGGCCCUGACUCCACAAAUGCGCUGGGGCCAGAGGAGCAUCCUCCUAGGUGGUGCCUGCACUGAGAAGAAGAAACAAAAAAGCACUCAGCUGAGCUGACCCUCUGAUCAGGAAGAAGAAAAGGUGAAGGCCUCAGACAACUUCAGUCAUCUGGAAGAAGCCUUCUGUUUGCAAGCCCUGAUGCUCAUGGUAGACUUUAACCACUGAAAUAUCUGCUGGAGUGUCACAGGUGAUCUAGAAGGUGCCUGAAGUGCAGAUGAUAACUUCCUAAGAUCAAGUAGCUAGUGAGG
ensembl:lncRNA